GACGAACGCUGGCGGCGUGCCUAAUACAUGCAAGUCGAGCGGAUGACGGAGGAGCUUGCUCCUCCUGAUUCAGCGGCGGAUGGGUGAGUAACACGUGGGCAACCUGCCCUGUAGAUUGGGAUAACUCCGGGAAACCGGGGCUAAUACCGAAUAAUCCUUCGGACCUCAUGGUCCGAUGUUGAAAGACGGCAUCUCGCUGUCACUACAGGAUGGGCCCGCGGCGCAUUAGCUAGUUGGUGAGGUAACGGCCCACCAAGGCCACGAUGCGUAGCCGACCUGAGAGGGUGAUCGGCCACACUGGGACUGAGACACGGCCCAGACUCCUACGGGAGGCAGCAGUAGGGAAUCUUCCACAAUGGACGAAAGUCUGAUGGAGCAACGCCGCGUGAGUGAAGAAGGUUCUCGGAUCGUAAAACUCUGUUGUGAGGGAAGAACAAGUACCGGAGUAACUGCCGGUGCCUUGACGGUACCUCAUUAGAAAGCCACGGCUAACUACGUGCCAGCCGCCGCGGUAAUAC
rnacentral:rRNA from 1 species